ensembl:lncRNA
UUUUUUUGCUUUUUAGGGCCAUACCUAUGGCAUAUGGAAGUACCCAGGCUAGGGACUGCAUCAGAACUGCAGCUGCCAGCCUACAACACAGCCACAGGAACUUGGGACCUGAGCCUUGUCUAUGAUCUAUAGCACAGCUCACGGCAAUGCAGGAUCCCAUACCCAGUGGACAAGUCCAGGGAUUUAACCUACAUUCUUGUGGAUACUAGUCAGAUUUGUUUCCACUGUGCCACAAUGGGAACUCCUGCCCUACUUCUUGAGUAGUUUUUAUCAUUAAAAUUGAUCUAUGCAUAUGAUCUAUGUGUCACCAUAUUUGUACCAUAUUAGUGAUCCAGAAUCAAAAUUUAUAAGCUAUUAUUUAUUUUUAAAAAAGGACUGUGGAGAGUGAAUUAGGCUAAAAAUUAAAAUAACUUAAAUUCAGCACUAUUGUGAGGGUUAGCAUUGAAAAUGUUCAAUUUCCUCUGCCAAUUAGUCAACAAAAAUAUGAUGUAAUUAUUUAUGUCAAAUGGUCCCAAACCCAUUAAAUUUUUAAAACUCUGAUAUUUGGAAUUUGCUUCUAGAAUCUAGAUAAUCACAAGGUUAGUAUAAUUGGCCUAUUUAUUCUCCUAUUCUAUUAACAAUGUAACAUCUUAUAUUACUUUAGUGAACAUGUGCUUUCACAUCCAUACUUCAUUUGACCCUUGAAAUAAAGCCAGUGAGAAAAGUGGGACAGAGAAUAUUAUUCUCACCUUUUAAAUGAGAAAAUUAGGCAAAACUAACACAAACACAGAUUGCUUUAUUUGUGCAACUCACAGCAUUCUCAAUUGUUUUGACUUCAUACUAGUUUAUAAAUCUCUAUGUUCUUUCUCCAUUCCAAAAUGAUACCAAUCAAAACAUAAGUGAAUAUACAGUUCAAGUGAGCAAACAAAAUGUCCAGAAAUCUAAGGCCAGGGUUUUGAUUUUUCACUAAGUAUGAUGAUUUCUUUUGAAUUCUCUGUCAUGGACCCCAACCCCAGUCACCUGGGGGGGGGGUUUGAAUAAAAAAACUAUUGGGCAUCAUCAAAAUCAUGUAAAUUUCUGAAGAUGAAUUAAGUGUACCCUUUUCACCCACUAUUGGAAACCAAACUCAAAAAGUACAACUUGGCAGAUUAGAAGAUUAUGUGCACACUUAUGGAACACAAGCAUCUAGUCUUGUCACUUUCACAACUUCUGGGUCUGGGUUUACUGUACUUCUCAAGCUCUUGGUGUGACAGCUAAAGGGAAUCUCUAUAAUAGUAACAGGGUUAGGGAGUUCCCGUCGUGGCGCAGUGGUUAACGAAUCUGACUAGGAACCAUGAGGUUGCGGUUCGAUCCCUGCCCUUGCUCAGUGGGUUAACAAUCUCGUGUUGCCGUGAGCUGUGGUGUAGGUUGCAGACGCAGCUCAGAUCCCGCGUUGCUGUGGCUCUGCCCUAGGCCGGUGGCUACAGUUCUGAUUAGACUCCUAGCCUGGGAACCUCCAAAUGCUGCGGGAGUGGCCCAAGAAAUAGCAAAAGGACAAAAAAAAAAAAAAAAAAUAGUAACAGGGUUAGACCCUUGAGUUAGACCCUUCACCUUCUGCCUAAGAACCAAUGGGUAUCCUAACAUUUUAAAAAAACAUCUCUUUCAGUUCAGGUUAUUUGAAAUGAGAAAUCCAAGGCCAGGGUUAAUGAAAAUAGAUUCCACUUUUCUCUCAAACUCAGCGUUAGGACAACUAUAUGUUUCUUUCCUUUCUAACAAUAAAUGAUUAAUGAUCAUCUGAGCACAAAAGAGAAAUGUUACCAAAUCUAACUCACUAUGACAGUGUUUAUAAACAACUACAGGAUCUCAAGGCAGCUAGUAAAAGCAUGUUAGGGCAGCUGCUGCUUUUUUUUUGUAUCAAUUAGCAUCAGGGUGAUCCAUAAAAUUCUUCUCAACAACAACCAAUCCAUGAGCAGAGAGCAUCCACAGGCAUUUUCAGGAGGUCAGCAUCUGCAGCUCACGUUUCCAUGGGAGGGCAGUGCCCAGAAGUACACAUAUGGCCCCACAGGUUUACCCAAAAUUGUUUACCAAAAAAUUAAAAGAAAAAUUAUAAAGAAAAUCAAUAUAAAUCAAUAUAAAGUAAAGCAAAAUGUUAUUAAGCAGAAAAGCUCCAUAAUUUAAAGGGAAAAGUCUGAACAGAAAGAGAGUUUCAAGAGUUAACAUGUUAUCAAAGGCAUAAAGCAACAACAACAAAAACAACAACAACAACAACAAAAUCUGACUUAGUCCACUGGGCCCUUGUCAGAUUUAGAUCAAUACAGGGCACAAAAAUCUCUUCAGAAUAAAUUGGAGUGAAAUAACUUGUUCAAAACUGGUAUGUUGCAGUGUAAAGAUCCAAACUUAGGUUUUGACUGCAAAGUCAAAACUGUUCCUGUCAUAGCAGUUUUCUCUUUACCCAGGAAUAUUGACCAGGGGUCAGGAAGAUAAAAUUUAAAGCAUUAAAAUUAGUCAAAGGACAGGAAGAUAGGAAUUCUCAGGAAUGCAAAGGAAUCAGAGUCAAAACCUGAGAAUCAACUUUUAAAAUCUAGAAGUUCUCUUGGGGUGCAGUGGGUUAAGGAUCAAGCAUUGCCACUGUAGCACCUUUCUUUGGUUGCUGCCAUGGCAUGAGUUCAAUCCCUGGCCCAGGAACUACCACAUGCUACAGACAUGGCCAAAAUGUAACAAAAUAGGAAUUCUCACUGUGGUGCAAUAGGAUCAGUGGUGUCUCUGUAGCACUAAGACGAAGGUUAGAUCCUGACCCAACACAGUGGGUUAAAAAUCCAAUGUUGCCACAGCUGUGGUUUAGGUCGCAACUGUGGCUGGGAUCUGAUCCCUGGCCCGAGAACUACAUAUACCAUAGGGUAGCCAAAAAAGAAAACAAAACAAAAGUAAUAAGAAAAAAAAAGAAAAAUCUAUAAAAUCAUCUAUGGAUAAUAUAUAUAAUAAAUAUGUUAAAUAUGCCAUUUAUCUAAUGUGUACAUCUAAAAUACGUACAGAUGUGUACAUAUAUAUAUAAAUAUGUUGCUAUAAUCAUAAUAUAAAUUUCAAAGAAAGUUUGAUUUUUACAACACAAAGCGAUUUUAGUUUCAAAAAUAAAGUAGAAUGAGAUAAACACAGAACCUUAAUGUAGGAGUAAAUCACAAAGUAGUAAAUCUUUACAGACUUUGAAAGUAUUUUGACUUCUAUUUUGAGUGAUAUGGGGGCCAUUGUGGGGUUCUAAGGGGAGGAAUGACAAAUGCAACUGGCAGUUCAAUAAAAGCCCUCUGAUUCCUAUGUUAAGGAAGGAGGAAGUGGAUUCCAGGAGACCAAUUAGGAUGUUCCUAUAACAAUCCAGAGAAAGAAUGGUAGCUGGACAAGCACAAAAGAAAACGGAAUGGUUUGAUGGACUCACUGUGAGGUAUGAGAGGAAAAGAAACCUCAAAGAUGAUUCCAAGUUUUGUUUUGUUGUUUUGGUUUUGACUGAGUAACUUUCACACAUGAAGAAUCCUGUGGAAGAAAUAGGCUUGUGGAGUUCUAUUGAUUUUGAUGAUUCACUUGUAAUUGUUGGAAGUGGCCUUAGGCAAGAAAGAUGAACGAAUAAUGCAGCAUAUUGUUCCAUGGAAGUGGCUUCCCAGUCACAGAAUCCUCUUGUGAACUGAAUCUGGGACACACAAUACAUACAGGCAGCAAUGAUAGUGAUUAUGCUGAAGCCCAGGAAUACCACAAUGAAGUGUAUUGCUUGGAGGAACUAAUUUCAAGAGCAGCAAAGAAAAAUUAUCAAAUGCAAAGCUCUACCUUCCCUGUCUCAUGAUAACACUUAAAAAUCUAACAUCCUGCCAAGGAUUAAAAAAAAGGAGGUGAAGGGUUAGUUAAACUUUACAAACCAGGAACAAGAAAAUUAGGACCUUUAACUAUGAACCCACUCCUGGCAGCAUGACCCGCGCUCCUUUCACUGAUUCUUCUUUAACAUUAUACAUGAAAAAUCAAUGAUGAUAAGACUUUAUGUUUUUUUGGCUGGUUCACAUUAUGUUAAAAAAAAAAGAGAGAGAGAGAGGGAGAUAGAGGAAAAAAAAGAAAAAAGAAAACAAAUAACAACAGUGAAAGAGCAUAACAUGAAUAGAUGCUGACCUUGUCUUAGGUCUUUUCUAAUAAGCACUCCUACAUACACCCUACUUCUGUCCUCACAAUAAACCCAUAAGGUAGAGAGUAUGGUUACCUCUGUUUUCCAGAGAAAUGAACUGAUGUAAAUAAUUUCUCAUAAACUGAGGUGAUGAAUCAAUAGAUAUUCAGCUUAAUCUCCUUGAAUUGCAGCAGAUGAAUCUAUCCUAAUGAGAAAUGAUCCUCAAAAUGAUGAACUCAAGACCCUGAGAAGUCUUAAAUUUUCAAGGAAUUUACUGUUGAAAGAAAUCAAUCAUUCGGGGUUUUAGAAAGAUUACAACUCAUAGCUAUUCAAGACAUAUUAUUUGUGCAAGACGGGGAGAAAAGGAAGCAGGCUGAGCUGUUACUUCUGUUAACAAGGACAUUUGAUUGACCCAGAUAUUCAUUUCAAAACUCUGAUGAACUGACAAUGAGUUGAAUAAAUAGUCUUGUCAUUUUAGUCAUAUUUUAGUGGCAUAUAUAAUUUCUUGAUAACUUAAAUUCUCUCAAGGAAUAUUAAAAACUUUUCAUUCUCUUCACCAAUACUGUGUUUACUUUUAAAAAAUUCAGUUUGUCACAAGAAGUAACUAAGAAAGUGUAGGUAAAUAAUAGGUAUCUGGGAUAUAGGUGAUUUUUCUUAUCAUUAAGAACAGAAAGGAAACAUAAUCAAUUGAUUUUAAUAUUUUUUUGGUAACAGAAACAUUUAGUAUUGCCCAUGUCCUCAAAAAUAUAGAAAAAAAAUUAGCAAACCAAAAAGGAAGGAUCAGAUGAUACAAAAGACAGUUACGUAUAGGAUAUUUAUCAAGGAUAUUUGAUUAGAUAUAACAUUUCUCUUAUGUUAAGUGUGACAGAACAGAUGCAAAUCUAAUUACUUUCUCUAGGUUUCCACCAGUGAGCCACAUAUUACACUUUCUUGACAGCCGUACAUUAUUUGAGUUGAGAUUGUAAAUAAAAUCAUUUCACAGGUGUCAGUGGGUAAGAAAUGCUCUCACCAACUAAAAACAGAUUAAAUACAAUGAUGUGCUAGGUACCACAGCUCACAACCUCAGCGCAAGAACCAAAACUUAGUGUAUGAUCUCAAGUAAGUACAUUUGGAGGGUGAGGAAAAGAGAUCAUAAGUAUGGUUUCUGUGGGUAAUAACUAGUGCCAAUUUGAAAUGAAGAGUUUACAAAGAGAAAUGAAGCUUUUGCGAAAAGAGCUUUGCUUCUGUAAGCCUAGGACUUCCUAUCUGUAAAAGGAAUAGGUUGUCUCCUCUAGGUCUCACCAUUUAGAUACUAUCACCUCAUGAGAAUCCUAGCCACAAUUUUAUUACCAAACAUAAUUACUUGUUUUAAAUGAGUUAUUUUGCCUUUGUCAAAGUCAUAUUAUGACACAUUGUGAGUGGAAAAGCCCACUGAGGUCUUAUGAACAAGCUCAGGAAAAUUCCUCAUAAAAUGUCAGGCUCUUCUAUAGAUCUAUCAUUAAUACUCUUAAAAAACCACAGUCUUUCUAGUUCUCAACCUUUUUAAAUUACUUAGCUAUAUAUUUCCAAGCAAGAGUCACAUAUCAAUAAUUUACCUAUUGACAAUUAAGUUCAAUGAUUACUUUAUAUACCUUUAUCCUUCAGCCUGUCUACAUAUUAAAUCUAGAUUGAUUCCUUCCUUCCUCACAUAUACAUGAGUUCUCAGUAUAAUGAAUAAAACAGUCACAUUUACAGAAAGUAGAAAGCAGUUUAAUGAGAUUUUUCUAGGGAUCUGAUUUUUCCUCUUUUAAUAUCACCUAGAGUAUUUCUACUGAUAACAAAGCUGAAGAUGGCCAGCUUUACCUGGUUACAUACCACCCAUUGUCAAGGGGAGAUAGGAAGUGAAUGACCUUAGGAUUCUGCUAAGGUAUGACUCAAACAUUGUACCAAUCAUAUCUGUUCAAUUCUAGCUGCCUAAACAUAACACGUGGUAAUGCCCAAUUGCAAGGGAGGACAGGAAGCUAAUAAUUGUAUCAUUUAGCCAGGCUGUGUAAGCCCAGCUAAAACUAUCAAAUGGAAGACUAGGAGAAUAGACAAUAGUAAAUAUUUAGUUAUCAUACUACCUUAUUUUAAAGUCAAGUAUUUGGGAUUUAGGGAGGGAGAGGAUGUCAGGAAACAUGUAAGCACCCUUACAAAAAUCUAAGAAGCACUAAUUUUAGAAUUUAACCUGCAUAAUUUAUUUCUUUGGAGCAAACAAUAUAACAUCUAUUUUUUUAAUCCUUGAGCCUUUUGGAUCCCUGAAAUUAUAUCUGAAGGUCUUAAUUUGAGAAAAAAAAUUUAAAAGCAAACAUUUCAAGAAGUACUUCACUUAGCAGUUAUCAAUGUACAUUUUUGAAACUAGUAAAAUGUUAUCGCAGGGCAGGGUGAUCAUUUUAGUAAGAACCAAUUUCUCAGAAUUGAAAAUUAACAGACCCCUAUUUGGAAAUGGAUCAUUAGGUGACAUCUGGAGUUAAAAGUAGUUUUGAUUUCUAUAAAGAUCUUAUCCAAACAUCAACAUUCCCCAGAUAGAACUGAAGAAAGAAAAAAGUUAUAAAAUUAGUCUGACUUCAUUUGGAACAAAAGUGUAAAUGCAAUUUAAUGGAAAACCCAGAGGAGAAGCUCUUCACCCUGCAACAGAAAUAUAUUCUUACCUAGAAAUGAAUGCAUGGGAAUAUGUGAAGAGUAUCAUUCAACAUGUUAGAUAAUCCUUUAUAUAGAAAAGAAUGAAUGGUUUCUUUUCCCUCAGCUGUGGUAAGAAGAGCGAGUCCCAAAUAUGGACUGUGGCUGUUAAAAUCCGUAUGUCAUAUUUAUCAGGACUAUAAGUUAUUUAAGUCCCAGCUCUAAUAUGUGAAUAAUGCCCAUUGGUUGUCCUUGACCAUUAGCAUUCAGACCUAAGAGCGCAAUUAGUACCACAGAACCAUGUCUUUAUCAUUGGAUACAGUCUGGUAUGAUUAAUUAAUCAAAAGCUCUUCUUUAAUCUAUAGAUCAAAAGAAUAAACAAUAAAGAGACAAGACCAGUGAUGUUCUUUCCUUGUAAUUAAAAUGAAGAUGGUUGGAGGCAUUGUAGCUAUAUUCACUCAAGACGUUUUUUCUUCCCAACCUUUCAGAGAUAAUGGGUUACCACCAGCC